rnacentral:rRNA from 1 species
AUUGAACGCUGGCGGCAUGCCUUACACAUGCAAGUCGAACGGCAGCACGGGGGCAACCCUGGUGGCGAGUGGCGAACGGGUGAGUAAUGCAUCGGAACGUGCCCAGUAGUGGGGGAUAACCAGUCGAAAGACUGGCUAAUACCGCAUACGACCCCAGGGUGAGAGCGGGGACCGUAAGGCCUCGCGCUAUUGGAGCGGCCGAUGUCUGAUUAGCUAGUUGGCGGGGUAAGAGCCCACCAAGGCGACGACCAGUAGCUGGUCUGAGAGGACGACCAGCCACACUGGGACUGAGACACGGCCCAGACUCCUACGGGAGGCAGCAGUGGGGAAUUUUGGACAAUGGGCGCAAGCCUGAUCCAGCCAUGCCGCGUGCGGGAAGAAGGCCUUCGGGUUGUAAACCGCUUUUGGCAGGAACGAAACGGCGCAAGCCAAUACCUUGCGCUAAUGACGGUACCUGCAGAAUAAGCACCGGCUAACUACGUGCCAGCCGCCGCAGUAACAC